rnacentral:rRNA from 1 species
AACGAACGCUGGCGGCAUGCCUAACACAUGCAAGUCGAACGAGACCUUCGGGUCUAGUGGCGCACGGGUGCGUAACGCGUGGGAACCUGCCCUUAGGUUCGGAAUAACUCCCCGAAAGGGGUGCUAAUACCGGAUAAUGUCUUCGGACCAAAGAUUUAUCGCCUUUGGAUGGGCCCGCGUUGGAUUAUCUAGUUGGUAGGGUAAAAGCCUACCAAGGCGACGAUCCAUAGCUGGUCUGAGAGGAUGAUCAGCCACACUGGGACUGAGACACGGCCCAGACUCCUACGGGAGGCAGCAGUGGGGAAUAUUGGACAAUGGGCGAAAGCCUGAGCCAUCAAUGCCGCGUGAGUGAUGAAGGCCUUAGGGUUGUAAAGCUCUUUUACCCGGGAUGAUAAUGACAGUACCGGGAGAAUAAGCGCCGGCUAACUCCGUG